CCUACGGGUGGCAGCAGUGAGGAAUAUUGGUCAAUGGACGAGAGUCUGAACCAGCCAAGUAGCGUGAAGGAUGACUGCCCUAUGGGUUGUAAACUUCUUUUAUAUGGGAAUAAAACAGGGCAUGCAUACCCUCUUGUAUGUACCAUAUGAAUAAGGAUCGGCUAACUCCGUGCCAGAAGCCGCGGUAAGACGGAGGAUCCGAGCGUUAUCCGGAUUGUGUGGGUUUAAAGGGAGCGUUGGAGGCUUGUGUAGUCCGUUGUGUAAGUUUGCGGCUCAACCGUAAAAUUGCAGUUGAAACUGGCAGUCUUUGGUACAGUAGAGGUGGGCGGAAUUCGUGGUGUAGCGGUGAAAUGCUUAGAUAUCACGAAGAACUCCGAUUGCGAAGGCAGCUCACUGGACUGCACCUGACACUGCUGCUCGAACGUGUGGGUAUCAAACAGGAUUAGAUACCCCGGUAGUC
rnacentral:rRNA from 1 species